rnacentral:lncRNA from 1 species
GUCCCUGGCUGCUGGCUGUUCUGAGAGGUUGUAGAAACUAUGGGAAACAGGGCUUAGCAGAAGGAAGAGGGUAAUUGGAUAUAGACAUAGGGGCUGUAGGCUUGUUCUGUUUCCUGCUUCUUCCUGGCAACAUAACCAGCCACUUCAAGGUCCAGCUACCACAGCCACAAGCCACUCCCACCAUGAGAGACAGCAUCCCCUGAAGGGUGAGCCAGAAUAAAGCCUUCUCCUUUUGUUUCUGUCAGCUAGACUGUCACAGCCAUGAGAAAAAGAUAACUAAUGCAGCCAAUUGCAUGUGAUCAGAGGAGGGUUGUGUUUAUCAUCCAACAGGGGGCUUGAAGAGCUAAUGUCUGAUUGGCUGUGCAUCCUCUUCCCUUUGACACAACACUGUAGCAUUCCAGAUGGCAUGUGUCCCAUGGGUCUACACUCUGCAGCAAGAACAACCCGAGACAAACACCAAGAAAACAACGAUGGAGAGCUUGUGGAACAAAGAAGUCUGUUGUACUGAGAGGAAAAGAUGUGAAGAGAAGUUCAAAGCCAAGGAUGGUUUCUCCGCUGUGAAACUCUUGCACCUGGGAGGCAGAGGCAAGAGGUCAUCCUUGGGUCUCAAACCUGGGACAAACGGUGGAGGAGCCUGUUUAAGAUAUCAAAGCUGAUGUGCGCUCAGGUCUUCUCAGCAUCCCUCAGUCCCUACCAGUUACAGGGCCCUCUUGGCUGGCACACACUGUCCCCUUGUCUAAACUUCUCCAGCCCAGCGGCCAGGCUGCCUUCCCUCCAGAUGCCCUUCCCUGUAGAAUCCAGCCAUUGUAGAAUCCAGCCAUUUUGAUUAUAUCCUUUCUCUUUUGAACCUCCUGGCUGCUGCACCUGGUUCCACCCUCCACCCCUCACCUCUCCCCACAUGGCUCAGGGUCAUGACAUUCCCUCUGGACUCUCUCAAGAUGUCCCUGCCUCUGGCUAUGUUCUUCCAUUUACCUACAAUAAACUUUCUCCUCCACCAUACCUAGGAAUAGUUAUGUCCUUUCCUAUUUGUUGGUUAUUGUUCAAUUCAAACAUCCUGAAA